rnacentral:rRNA from 1 species
GAUGAACGCUAGCGAUAGGCUUAACACAUGCAAGUCGAGGGGCAGCAUGGUCUUAGCUUGCUAAGGCUGAUGGCGACCGGCGCACGGGUGCGUAACGCGUAUGCAACUUGCCUCACAGAGGGGGAUAACCCGUCGAAAGACGGACUAAUACCGCGUACACUCUAUGUUGGGCAUCCAAUGUAGAGGAAAUGAAAUUCGCUGUGAGAUAGGCAUGCGUCCCAUUAGCUAGUUGGUGAGGUAACGGCUCACCAAGGCGACAAUGGGUAGGGGAACUGAGAGGUUGAACCCCCACACUGGUACUGAGACACGGACCAGACUCCUACGGGAGGCAGCAGUGAGGAAUAUUGGUCAAUGGGCGAGAGCCUGAACCAGCCAAGUCGCGUGAAGGAUGACUGUCUUAUGGAUUGUAAACUUCUUUUAUACGGGAAUAACAAGAGUCACGUGUGGCUCCCUGCAUGUACCGUAUGAGUAAGCAUCGGCUAACUCCGU